AACUAUCGUGAAUUACUUAAAAUAAUUAAGCCCAACCCUAGCCCAAAUUUGAUUAGAUUCACUCUCGUGCGCCGCUUAUUUCUUGUUUCUCUCUUUCAUUUUAGUCUCUCUGUCUCUCUCCCUCGCAUUGUUCUACUCCGCGGCAGCGCCGCUCUCUGUGUCUCUCUUUCACGUGUCCUGCCUCUCCAUGUUGCCGCCCUCGUCGGCUUGCCCCACCCCCUCGUCUCUCAGUCUCCCUCAUCUCCUCUUUCGAAGCACCGCUGCCUUCGCCGACUCGCCCAGCCUUAUGGGCGACUACUAAAAUAUUUAGCGGAAACUUCGUCUUCUUCACUUCCUAUCGCCUCCUCUGCAUACACACGGAACAGAGAAGAAGCAUCCUCAUUACCUUGGGCCAAUUGCUCUUUUCUGCCUAAUUUGGGCGAAAGAUCUUACUAAACAAAGGAGACGGAGAAGAAGCCCUAUCUCAGGCAUGCAUGACGUCAGAUCUAAGAGAGAGAGUUGAUAGUGUGAAAUGUGUAAUUUGGCAACAUUCCAUAUAUAUCUCCAAAAAAUGUAACAACUUUUUAUUAUCGUCAAACCAAAAUCAACUCCAUUAUCAAAGCAUCUCAUUCAAUAUAAUAUAUUAAAUAUAUAAGUUUCAUAUAUAUCUCC